rnacentral:lncRNA from 1 species
AAAAGAUGGAAACAAACCCAACAUCCUGCAAGUGGUGAUGGAUACACUAUUUAAGGCCCAGUCGCACAAAGGAAUAUUACACAGCCAUGAAAAAUCUCAGAGUGCAUUAAUAAUUUUUUUUUCUGACAGCUCUUUGAUGCGGUGGCACUUUGAAGCCCCCACAAAAAUGGAUGCCUUCACUUCACAAUGGAUUAAUCCACUGAUGCACCAUAUGAGAAGAAGCUCUUGAUCCUUCCUGCACCCUAAUGUUCUUUACCAAGUCAGGUUCUUCUACAUCGAUGAGAUAGAGAACUAGCCUUUAAGUUUGGGAUCUGUCUUUGUUUUCUGUUGCUAUAACAAAACAUCUGAGGCUCAGUAUCUUCUACAGAGGUUUAUUGAGCUCACGAUUUUGGUGGCGGGAGAUUCAAACAGCGUAAAAUUUGGCUGCCUUUUAAUGUGUGUCCUGAACCUAUAUAUAGAGCUUUUUCUCCUAAUUAUUCUGCAUCAAUUGAGUGUGAGGGUUAUUUGCAGAGCAUUUAUGCAGUAUUAGUAUUAUAAGUCAUGUAGAGGUGUACGUAGGAUGGUGAGCACAGGGCACACGCAGAUAAAAUCUCAUUUUUUAUUUAAAGCACUGGACUUGGGUACCUUCAGGGGUAUUGGGUGUCCAUCACCAGCAAAAUUAUAAGAUUCAGUUCCUGCAAAAAUGGAGCUGUAACACUGGAGGAUUUCAGGCUAGAAGACAAAACAGAAAACCAGUUGUUCCAAAGGAGCUUGGCAUACUGAUGGCCAGUGGUGGGUGGAAAGCACAUUGGCACCUGUUGGUUUGCUGAGGACCCAGAAAUCUGGAAUAUAAUGGUUUGGCCAUUUGGGGGCCAGCUGGGAGGCUUGGAUGGGCCAUCCACACUCCGAGGUCAGUGCUAAGCUAGCCGAUGUUUUCUGACCAUCUGACUUUUCUCUCUGUCCAAUGGUACUUCCCUUCACGUCUGUUGGUGCCCAGCCUAUAUUUCACCUCCAAAUUCACGGCGGCGUUGACUUUUGGAGAAGCCCAUUUGCAAGAGUUGGAGAGGUCUGAGCCCAGGAGCAAGCGUUGCUGACCUCUGAGGAAGGAAACAAAAUGGCGGCCAGAGAGCAAAUCCUGUGCCCCCUGGCUGGGAAGGAGGGUGCCAUAGCUGUGGGAGCUGGGGAAGAAGGAAGGAUUGGUGAGAACCAAUGGUCCAGAUGAGGAAGACAUUCAGUGGUGUGACUUCUGGUGGGGCCCCAUGGGAUGGGACCUCACCACCAUGGGUGACCCAUCUGGGAUUGGACAGGCAUGGAAGAAAUCACAGCCAUGACUUGGCUUUGGAUGGGUAAUGAUAAGGACUGAUGAUGUCCUCUGGAAAAAUAAGGAGCAGCUAAGAGACUAAGCACAGUUGAUUGGAAGCCACCUGAGAAAAUCCAAGAUGUUCUUUGGUGACAAAGUCUCCUCUUCCUUCCCAGGAGAAGGCAGAGAAAAUGGGACCAACCUUAGGAUCCAAGAGUCUACGCUUCCAAGAGGAUAAAUACCCAUCAAUGGUCAUUUCUCAAUCCGAGCUCAAAGCAUUGACUAGGGAACUUGGGAUUCUGAUAAAUGGGGUAGAGAUCUUCGGGCGAAUGUCUCCAGGGUCUUCCUGAACUUUCUCAACUUCCCCAAGGCGCCCGAUUCUCUGGGAAUUGCUGGAAGUCCUUCCGAGAUCCAUGACAACCCAGAGUUGGCUUCUCCAAAAGUUAUCAGCGACCCCAGCUCUCCUCUAAAACCUUUCGAUUGAAAACGAGAGUUUGGGCUCAGUUGUUAUAGCAGCGGGGAUAGACUGAGACGUGCACUUUGAAUAUUUUCCAUGCAGAUCAAUAUUGUCUAUUUUUCCAUCUCCUCUAUGUAUAAAAGGGCAUUAUUUAGGGAUGUGUUCUCUCUUCUGUAUUAGAAUGGAAAUUAUUCCUCUCUGUAGAGCUCCUGUUGCAUGAAAGACCCUCAACAUGGAUUUGUAAUGACAUCAAAGGACACCACCUAGCACAGGGUCUAGGCAUUGAGAGGUGUUCUUUCAAGACCAUGAGGGGAUGUGUCUUUUCUUCAGAAAUCCCCAGACCAAGCUCUGCAGUGUGUAUCAAGGGAUGCUAAUCUGCAUCUGAAUCCCCAAGGGAAGAACAAAGUAGUUGCUCCGAACACACCCGGCACAUUCUUCCGGCAGAUUCCACCUGCCCUCGUAGGUUCUGGGAAACUUGAGACCCAUGAUUUCCUCAUGAGGGGAGUCUUUUCGCUCAUUUUAAGAUUUCCUUUCUCAAGGCCAGGUACAAGUUGGGGAUCUGAGCUCCAUUUUGCAAAAUGACCUUGGUGACCUCGGAUUUCCUGAGAACUGACCCACAGAACAGCCGAAGUGUGUGGAAUAAUCACUGAAAACGGAAGCCAAUAUUUGGGCUCAUUUCCGACCACAGAUGAUGACAAAUGGCCCUCAAUAAUCACAUAGUUGAGAAAAUGCUAGUGUCCCUCAACACUUGCCAUGGGUGGGAGGUAGAUGGA